rnacentral:rRNA from 1 species
UGGGGAAUUUUCCGCAAUGGGCGAAAGCCUGACGGAGCAACGCCGCGUGAGGGAUGAAGGCCUUUGGGCUGUAAACCUCUUUUCUCAAGGAAGAAGAUCUGACGGUACUUGAGGAAUAAGCCACGGCUAAUUCCGUGCCAGCAGCCGCGGUAAUACGGGAGUGGCAAGCGUUAUCCGGAAUUAUUGGGCGUAAAGCGUCCGCAGGCGGCCGUUUAAGUCUGUUGUUAAAUCGUGGAGCUCAACUCCAUCACGGCAAUGGAAACUGUUCGGCUUGAGUAUGGUAGGGGCAGAGGGAAUUUCCGGUGUAGCGGUGAAAUGCGUAGAUAUCGGGAAGAACACCAGUGGCAAAAGCGCUCUGCUGGGCCAUUACUGACGCUCAUGGACGAAAGCCAGGGGAGCGAAAGGGAUUAGAUACCCCNGUAGUCA